rnacentral:rRNA from 1 species
GACGAACGCUGGCGGCGUGCUUAACACAUGCAAGUCGAACGGAAAGGCCCUGCUUUUGUGGGGUGCUCGAGUGGCGAACGGGUGAGUAACACGUGAGUAACCUGCCCCUGACUUUGGGAUAACUUCAGGAAACUGGGGCUAAUACCGGAUAGGAGCUCCUGCUGCAUGGUGGGGGUUGGAAAGUUUCGGCGGUUGGGGAUGGACUCGCGGCUUAUCAGCUUGUUGGUGGGGUAGUGGCUUACCAAGGCUUUGACGGGUAGCCGGCCUGAGAGGGUGACCGGCAACAUUGGGACUGAGAUACGGCCCAGACUCCUACGGGAGGCAGCAGUGGGGAAUAUUGCACAAUGGGCGGAAGCCUGAUGCAGCAACGCCGCGUGCGGGAUGACGGCCUUCGGGUUGUAAACCGCUUUCGCCUGUGACGAAGCGUGAGUGACGGUAAUGGGUAAAGAAGCACCGGCUAACUACGUG